rnacentral:rRNA from 1 species
GGCAAUGUGGUGUUCAGGUCGUUCCACAGAGAUACUGCUCCAUCCUAAGUCCAGCAAUGAGUACGGCUCAAGGACAUGGCCCAUAGAGGGUGAAAGGCCCGUGGGGGUGGAGAUUAAUUUGGCCAGUGUCUCUCUGGGUAGACCUUGGAGUCGGGUUGUUUGUGAAUGCAGCCCAAAGUGGGUGGUAAACUCCAUCCAAGGCUAAAUACUAGCACGAGUCCGAUAGCGAACAAGUACCGUGAGGGAAAGUUGAAAAGUACUUUGAAGAGAGAGUAAACAGUGCGUGAAACCGCUCAGAGGUAAACGGGUGGAGUUGAACUGCAAGCUCUGUGAAUUCAGCUGGUGAGUAUGGUUUGGGCUUGGUCAAGUUGGUCGAGCUUCGAAGUCUGCGUAUUAGCAGGUCUCUGCUCUCGGGUGGAGAUGCGCGGUGCACCUACCAAGUGUUGUGCGCUUCGGAGUUCCGGAUCAGCUCGCCAGUGCACUUUUGCAGAGUGUUCACCACGACCGGCAUCGCUGUCUGGCUGUUGUGGUUAAACCGGUCUUGCAUUGUCCUUGUGGCUUUGUUUGGUCGGGACGGCAGGUAGCUCGUUGAUGUUCCGUAGCUUGCUGCGGUCGUCUUCGGGUGUAAUCAGCUGACUACGAUGGUUCUGUGCAGUAUGUCGGAGACGGCGGCUUGUGUGUUCGUGCAUGCCGGUCCUGUGGGCUUGCUCGGGUCUGACUGUCGUGUUGCUUGCGUAAGCAGGCCUGAUGGUGGCUCGGGUUUGUUCUGCAGGCGGUUGUGUGCGUGACAUCUUAUGCGGGCCAAUAGUCUGUGG